ACUCCUGCGGGAGGCAGCAGUGGGGAAUAUUGCACAAUGGGCGCAAGCCUGAUGCAGCGACGCCGCGUGGGGGAUGAAGGCCUUCGGGUUGUAAACUCCUUUCGCUAGGGACGAAGCUUUUUUGUGACGGUACCUAGAUAAGAAGCACCGGCUAACUACGUGCCAGCAGCCGCGGUAAUACGUAGGGUGCGAGCGUUGUCCGGAAUUACUGGGCGUAAAGGGCUCGUAGGUGGUUUGUCGCGUCGUCUGUGAAAUUCUGGGGCUUAACUCCGGGCGUGCAGGCGAUACGGGCAUAACUUGAGUGCUGUAGGGGUAACUGGAAUUCCUGGUGUAGUGGUGAAAUGCGCAGAUAUCAGGAGGAACACCGAUGGCGAAGGCAGGUUACUGGGCAGUUACUGACGCUGAGGAGCGAAAGCAUGGGUAGCGAACAGGAUUAGAUACCCUAGUAGUCCCAUG
rnacentral:rRNA from 1 species